UACGUAGGGUGCAAGCGUUGUCCGGAAUUACUGGGCGUAAAGCGCGCGCAGGCGGCCCUUUAAGUCCGUCGGUCAAAUGCCGGGGCUCAACCCCGGGCGUGCCGAGGAUACUGGAGGGCUGGAGACACGUAGAGGCAAGCGGAAUUCCGGGUGUAGCGGUGGAAUGCGUAGAGAUCCGGAAGAACACCGGAGGCGAAGGCGGCUUGCUGGGCGUGAUCUGACGCUGAGGCGCGAAAGCGUGGGGAGCGAACAGG
rnacentral:rRNA from 1 species